rnacentral:rRNA from 1 species
AUUGAACGCUGGCGGCAUGCCUUACACAUGCAAGUCGAACGGCAGCACGGGAGCAAUCCUGGUGGCGAGUGGCGAACGGGUGAGUAAUAUAUCGGAACGUGCCCAAUCGUGGGGGAUAACGUAGCGAAAGCUACGCUAAUACCGCAUACGAUCUAUGGAUGAAAGCGGGGGAUCGCAAGACCUCGCGCGAUUGGAGCGGCCGAUAUCAGAUUAGGUAGUUGGUGAGGUAAAGGCUCACCAAGCCGACGAUCUGUAGCUGGUCUGAGAGGACGACCAGCCACACUGGGACUGGGACACGGCCCAGACUCCUACGGGAGGCAGCAGUGGGAAUUUUGGACAAUGGGCGCAAGCCUGAUCCAGCAAUGCCGCGUGCAGGAUGAAGGCCUU